GCCCUAGUAGCUCAGUGGAUAGAGCACGGCUCUCCUAAAGCCGGUGUCGGAGGUUCGAUUUCCUCUCUGGGGCA
rnacentral:tRNA from 1 species